UGAAACACGGACCAAGGAGUCUAGCAUGUGCGCGAGUCAUUGGGAAUAACUAAACCUAAAGGCGCAAUGAAAGUGAAGGUUCGUCUCGCGCGAACCGAGGGAAGAUGGGCGUGCCGUGAUUACCGCGGCCGCCCCGCACUCCCGGGGCGUCUCGUUCUCAUCGCGAGAAGAGGCGCACCAAGAGCGUACACGCUGGGACCCGAAAGAUGGUGAACUAUGCCUGGUCAGGACGAAGUCAGGGGAAACCCUGAUGGAGGUCCGUAGCGAUUCUGACGUGCAAAUCGAUCGUCGGAACUGGGUAUAGGGGCGAAAGACUAAUCGAACCAUCUAGUAGCUGGUUCCCUCCGAAGUUUCCCUCAGGAUAGCUGGCGCUCGUCGCCUACGAGUCUCAUCCGGUAAAGCGAAUGAUUAGAGGCAUUGGGGUCGAAACGGCCUCAACCUAUUCUCAAACUUUAAAUGGGUGAGAUCUCCGGCUUGCUCGAACUACUGAAGCCGCGAGACACGGAUCAGAGUGCCAAGUGGGCCAUUUUUGGUAAGCAGAACUGGCGCUGUGGGAUGAACCAAACGCCGAGUUAAAGCGCCUAAAUCGACGCUUAUGGGAUACCAUGAAAGGCGUUGGUAACUUAAGACAGCAGGACGGUGGCCAUGGAAGUCGGAAUCCG
rnacentral:rRNA from 1 species